GUUGUUUCCCUGGAAAAUCCUGCAGAGGAAGAACACCUCCACCCCAAAGCCGCCCCGGCAGUUGUUGCUGGGCGUUGCUGCUGUCCCACGCCGCACUGAUGCUGUUCAGCCUUAUGGCAGCAGUGGUUUUUGUUUGCUGUCCGUCUUGCCAAGCUCAUCUCUCCAUGCAAAUGCAAGCGGCGUAAUGAAAGGCGCUCACAGUGUCUUCCUUGAGGAGCGCUAGAUUUUGGUUUAAUCCCUUUCUGUCAAUGGGAAGCACAGCGUCUGUGUUUGUUUCACAGCUUUCUGCUGGUUCCAGGAGCAGUCUGGCAGAGCCUGCAGUUACUGAGCGAGAGUUAGAAAGGGUUUGUUUGAAGUUCUCUGCAUUGCACAGCAUGUGGGCUCUCGGUUCUGCCCCAGCACUGUCAGCCAGCAGCUGUUCCAAUGGGGCAGCAGAAGGACUUUGUGACCAAGGGAAGAAAUCUGUGCCAAAUGUCUGCAGCUGAAGAAGGGCAGCAACUGCGUGACCUGAGCAGAGGAGAUGGCAGCAGGCGAUGGUUAAAGCUGGCUCAGGUCCAACCCAGUCUGAUUUUUAGAGCUGAGAAUGCAGUGUUUGUUUAUGCAGAAGUUAAAAGCAUAAGCUAAGCUGCUAUUAAUUACAGCCUUCUUUGUGUGCGAGUUCUCCAGGAGUUCAGCCUGAUUCCUCGUAUUGUUGGCCAGACAAAGGGCAAGGAGCUCUGUGUGAGGAGAGGAAAUGACUGCGUUCUGUGCCCUGAAUGUCCAUAUUAGGUAUAAACUAAAUAUAGGAGUGUAAUCCAGGGGUGAAGUCAUAUCUGUGUGUUUUCAUGGGAAGAGCUAAUGAGAUCAGUCAGCGCUACUGGAUCGCCUUCAGAGCUUUUUGGCUCCGUUCAAGAAUGACUAUUUUGGCUAGACUUUGGUCUGUGCUUUGGAGGGCUGCUAUUUUUAAAUGAAGGAAAUAGAUAUAUUUUUU